AGCUUAGAGGCCUGGCUACAUGGUAAUUAUCUUAAAGCAAAGACAAGAUACUGCUAUCAUCUUGGAGUUCAUUAUUUCCUUUUAAUACGAAUAACUUUCAUGAAGAUAGAAUGUUGUUACUUGUUGGAGAAAAACAGAUAUUACCUAUGUUACACUCAGCACUCAGCCAAUGGUUCACAUAUUGACAUGAUAUAAACUCUGUGUGAGAUGAAACAUGCUUGUCUUUAGCCCAUUGGGACCUUUUGCUUGAACUUCUUUUGGGCUUUGGAUACAGUCUCUGAAGGAGCGGAAACAUGAAAAAUUAUUAGAUUAGAACAUUGA
rnacentral:misc_RNA from 1 species